GCACCGAUCCCUCGCUCUUCGCCGCCCUCGUACCGAUUCCUCGUGCUUCGCCGCCGCCGAUCCCUUCGACGCCGCCAAUCCCUUCGCCGCCGCCGAUCUCAUAGCUACGAUCCGCUUGAGGAGCCGCCGCCGAUCUCGUCGCUACGAUCAGCUUGGGGAGCCGCCGCCGAUCCCCUUCAGGAUCCGCCGGCGAUCGCCAUCCAGGGCACAGUCUACACGUUCUAGCGCCAAGAUCCUUUCCCCUUCCUCCUGCUAUGGUCGGGGGUCGGCGGCUCGCCGGUGUGGCGCAUGGCAGCGGAGAGAAGGGGGGCAAGAACAGCGGGGCAGAGUUCUUCCGGGAGGACGGCGUGUUGCACGACAUGGACGCGUAACUCAACUACCUGUCCCUCGAGCAUGACUCCUGGGACACCAAGCCAUGGACGGCUUGGUAUUACUUCUUGGAUCCUUCCUCCCUUCUCUGUAUUUAGAAACUGAAAUUUAAUAAGGCUGUGACGCAAUUUUGUUGAUUUGUUGCUACCUGUAUUAGGCUGAUCUGCUAUGGUUGUGGUUCCUUGUCGUAGAGUGCCAACUACGGACUCCGCCAUGUCCAACCACCUACACAUUUAGGUUUGUUUUAAAAUCGAAUAAAUUCUUCCACUCAGAUUGUGGGAAAUAAGGUGAAUCAAAUUGGUUUUCAUAUUUGGCCCAAUUAGCUCAAAGGUUCUACUAUGAAUCUGAUGUAUUGAAGUCACUGUCUUCUAGCUAUAUGUUGUCUACAAAUUUCCCUUUUCACCUUUUUUUUUGUAAUGUGAUUCCAAACUCUUAAGGUUAACCACUGCCACUAUUUCUCUAAUGAAUAUGCCAUGUGCAUAGGAAAGGUGCACCAUUUUUUCUUUAUCUUUAUCUUAGUUAAAUCCAUCCAGAGUGUAUGGAGGAACUAAAGACAUAUAGCUGAACAUAGAGCAUCAAUCCUCUUAUUGUUUAUUGUUCAUAAAAUUCUAUAUUAGAGUACCAUAUCAAUUCCAUUGUGACUUAAACGACGAAAUGCAUGAAAACUAUGUUUACUUUUCAACGUUUUUCAGACUAUUUGUCAUGUAUCCUUACUUACCGAGCAAUAGGGUUGUGGCAGAUGCUGGUAGCGCAAAAUGGAAUCCUAGAAAGAGGUCUAAUUGAUCAGCUGUGUUGAUGGACAGUUACCUGCCCAAUGUAAAUUAGAUACUAAAGGGAAAGGCAUGAAUGCGUAAGUUUUGUAGCAGUAGAUUCAGAACGAUGUUCUUUAUGCAUUUAAAAAAAAUCGUACAAUUCUUGAACAUGUUCAGAAUUAUGCAAUCAUCUCCUCAGAAUAGUGAGACAUUUCUUGGCUUAAUUUGUAUAUCCAAACUGGUGCCUUUUAGACUUGCCUGAUACAUAUCU
rnacentral:lncRNA from 1 species